GGCUCCGUGGUGUAGUUGGUUAUCGCAUUGGCCUAGAAUGCCGAAGACGCUGGUUCGAAUCCAGCCGGUGCCC
rnacentral:tRNA from 1 species